ensembl:lncRNA
CAGACAGAGGAAGCUGGGACAAGCUGGGAAGGAGAACACUGGGGAGGGGGCCACCAGCAGCAACAGAAAGCAACUGGAAAUGGCCCUAAUGACAGAGAAAGCAUAUCUGAGGGCUGAGCAUGCUCAUCUUCCUCCCCAUUCCCUGCCCCUUGCAGCCUCCCCCGACACAGACAGCAGCGUGGCCAGUGGAAGGACAUCAGAGACUUGCAUUUCAUGGGAAACAGCAUCAGUGAAAGCCACUCGACACUAAAUAAAUAAAAAAUUUCUCUUCUGAGAACAGAUGUUGGAGUUGAGCUGACUGCCUUGCCACCUGGGCAGCCCUCACCCUUUCACUGGCAUUUUUGCUUCGUGGACAUUGCCUGCACCAUUAAGGAGGUAAGCACUUGAACAGUGAGCACACUGUGCAGCAGAUUCACGCUCCGCAGGCAUGCUCCUUAACUGAGAUGUGUCUGCUCACUAUGCUGGCUCUGUGAUUUAUUGUUUGCCAGACUGAAAACCCUAAUCAACAGCCUUGUGUUCUCAGUGCGAUGUUAUGUGCUGGGGGAGCGGUAGGGUUCAGCGGAGUUCUUCUUUCCCAAUCUUCAUAGGCAAGCAGCCUCUUUCUUUCCCCCAUGCAAAGCAAGCAUUCAGUUAUUGUGGGAAAAAUCUAACUGCAGGGACAAACUGUAAACUUUUCCAGCAGAAAGCACAAGCAAGCCUGAAUCUUUGUUAUAAGCAUUUCAUUCCAGGUUUGUGCAUGGAAGACCUGGAUUCAUGUGGUGUGUGAAGCUGAGCACAGGGGCAUAGAGACUGAGGGAUUAAAUCAAAGGGAGGGUGGGGCAAAGAAAACCAUGGGAAUGAAGAACAAGUGGCCAAGAAAGACUGGAGGCGUGGAGAGGAGACGGGAGAGGAUACAGACAGCUGAAGAAUGGGAAUUGGCUAAUGGGCGAUCAUAUGAAUGGUGUGAAUCAUCCUGUGCUGAUCUCUUCUUCCACUCGUUUGAUUACCGCAGACAUCACUUGGCGUUUUUCCAGGAUGUCUUUCUGAGAAUAGAAGUCUCUCUUAUGUUUCUGGUGUGCAGGAGGUGAGCUAGGAAAAGCUGAAGACUAGAAAACAGUAGCUUUUGGAAGACAUGUGGCACCUCACUGAUCUGAAAAUAGAGCUGAACUGGAAACUUCAUUAAAAAGUUUAAGCCGUUGCCACCUGGCAGGUUUCCUAUUUUUUGAGGGGGUGGUUGCUGUCCAGUAAUAUGUUUUGCUAGACUGUGGGAAAUGAUUCAUUUCUAUCUAGUGUGGCAUCCCCUGAAGAAUUCUUUUCACUGAGUUGCAUUUUUGCCUUCUCUUAAUUGAUUUGAGAUGUAUAAAUAUCAGCAUAUUAUGUUUGUGACUGGAGUCAGUUCCAGCCUUUUUGCUAACCUAAACGUACCAUCCACCAAACAUCUGAGCAUUUUCAUAAGGAACGGGAAGAUAAAUUUUAAAGGUUUGUCUUUCCUCAUGGGCUGCAGGAUUUGGCCAGUCCAGUUGCACAUAGGACGUAUUUGUGUUUAAGACUUUUCUGAAUCUGGACAGGGAUCUCUUGUACUUCAUCUUACACCACAAAUACCCCCUUGAGAUAUAUUCAUCUGUAUAGUACUGCCAAGAAGAACUGAUUGAAGUAGCAACUAACAGUAUUGUUGACACUGUGAUUUUAAUUUCCAAAGUGAAUACAAUAAUUUUUUUCAGCUGAGCCUCAGUGCCCUUGCUGGCAGCUGUCAUGUUGGAGAGGAUGAAUGUGUCCUAAACUGUCAGAAAUCUUCUGUUGCCAGAUCCUUUCUUGAUGGUAUUUAGAACAGUUUCAACACAUCUGCUGUUUUGUUCUGGAGGAUUGGGUUGGAAGCUCUGGAGUGAGACGCAAGGAACAGCGUCAUCUAUGCCUGCUGUCAGAGCUUUUCAAACACAAAAUGUAUCAACACGAAUGAUGCCAUAUGUUCUUCAUCGCUGCGAAUUGCGUGCCUUCUGACAACAAGAUAGAGGAGGAAGAUUUAUCAGGAGAAUGUUGCCAGAUGCUGUCCAGAGAACAGAGGCGGUCUGUAGCUCUGAGCUAAGGCUAAGUGCUUGUUCCAUACCAAGCCAGUAAACUUCUGGCAUUGUAACAAAUGUGUAUGAGUAUUUGAAGGUUUGAGAGGGAGACGAUGAAUAAUAACGUCUCCUAAUUGAAUAGGAAUAGAGUUAGCUUUUAAAGCCUCAGCAAGUUUGUUGGUUUUAUUUAUUUAUUUUUAUUUUUACUAUUAUUAUUAUUUGCAGAUGUUCAAAUUAAAGUACAUGCCAUUAUAAAAACAAAACAAAAGAAAAACCCUUGGAUGUUCCAAUUAUCUAUUAAAAUAGUAGUUUGGUAUAAUUUGUGGAGCCUGUGAGCUUUAGAAAGUUGUUUUGCCUGUUUGGUCCCCUUGAUGAUGAUGUUGGAAUAAACUACAAACUAACUUUGAAGAUGACAGCUAAGUGGUCUUCAGCUAGUGAUUGGUAGAUUGCUAAUUAGCUCAUAUGAAAGAUCAGGUUUGUUUCUGUGCUGACCACGUUGCUGUUCCUACCGAACACACAACACUUUCAAAAGAUGGGAAUACAUUUUCUACUCCCUAUUCCCAGAGUAAAAAUCAGAAGAGAUAAAUCACGUGAGAAACUAGCAACAAGAAUAAGAAAAGCAUUCUGAAUUUGGAGAAAGGUUGUUUGGAGAAACAUUGAGUGAAAGAAAUGAAGAAACCUGGGGAAAAUAUACCUGCUCUGUUGAAAAAAAAAAAAAAAAUAGAGGCAGAAUGAAAAAGCGAACCAUUUGCUUGGUUCAUCAGUGUGUUCUCAGUUGUGAACCAUUUGAGUGGAUACAUGCUUAAUUAUGAUCCUGCAGGAGUAUGUACAUCAGCUGCACAGUUGAUGGGAAAAAAAAGAAGAUUAAAAUGAAUACGUUCUGCGAGUACCAAGAUGGGUAAGAGUUGAAAUAAAUGCGGGUUAAGGAUAUGCAUUUGAAGAUUUGAGAUGGAGAGAAUGAAUUAUAUUCUCAUUGGGUAGGGAUACAUUUGGCUUUGGAAGAUGGAACUCAGCUGUAAUUGUCCGUUUCUGACCAAGAUGUUACAUCCAAUUUCUCUGAUUACUUAAGGAGGGACUGUUGAUUUAAGUUAAGCUAUAGUUUCUGUCUUGUUAUAGAAAAGAAAUGGAAGCAGUGGGUAAUGUACAUAAAGUGAGGACUGAUAAACAGAUCAAAAGAAACUCCAACAGUCGCUUAGAUUUGUUUAAACUUUUUUGUUCUAUUUUCAUCAUCACGUAAGAAAAGAUGUAAUAUUAUCAGAUUGAUUUCUGUAACUGAACUUAAAGAAAAAAUAUGAACAGGAUGAGGUAACGUGGACAAAGAGAUCCCAUAUUAACCAUGACAUCUCCAAACACAUUAAAGCGUUUCUCUCAGUAGGGAUAAAUGUAUCUCUGUUAUUAAUAGGAAUCAUGACUAGCAGCUUACUAAUACAUAGGUAAAAUGUCUGUAUAUGUAGCAAAGUACAUAAAGGCAGAUGAGUAAAAUACUGAGCACUUCAAAAAAGAGGAGGCACAUAAGUUAAAAAUAGAAAUGAUUAUUAUAUUAUGAAGUUCUUUAUAAAUUUUGGAAUACCUUACAUCAUUCUACAGCACUGGGAUUAGAAAAAAAUAACACUGUGUGGAGUUACAUGGAGCAUACUUUUAAAUGUUUAUGAGAGAGAAAUGAUCAAAGGGAAAUACCACGUGGUUAAACCAGAGGUUUGUCACUUGUGAACACUAAUAUUCAAAACUUUACGUUAUGUGUACAGGUCCAAUUUAAUGCAAAGAGGUGUUCUGUUUUUUCUCUCUCUCUCUCUCUUUUAUUUUCAUUAAAAGAGCCAACCAGGUAAUUUGAGAAACGUACAACAGUGGUUUACAUUUAACAUAUUCCUACUGCUGACAUACAAUCCCAUGUUCACCUGCUCGCUCAGGGUAUGAUAAUCCAAAACACGUUCUGUUUUAACCCUGCUAUUUAUCUGUGAAGAUGGCUGAGAGCAGGACUAAGCUUCCUGGUGAGUUUUAUUGGCCAGAUAUUGCUAGAUCAAAUUGCAGAUCAGCCUGCACAAAACAGCUGGGAAGACCUGCAUCUACAGGUCAGAAGACCUGCAUCUCUUUUGAUACAAGAAGGCAUAUUCUGUAAAAAUUUGCUUCCAACUGAACAAAGAGAUUCUGAAGCCAAAUUCCUGUCUACUAGAAUGGGAAGGGCAUGCUGGUAGGAAAUGGCAUUACAAAGCAUAUAGUCAGAGAAAUGGAAACAAAACUGCAGUGUCCUAGACGUCAGAACACUCCAGAUACCGUCAGCGAAAGGACAAGAUCGGCGCAGUGAUAUGCAUCCCAGAAAGGCAGGACAACAGCUCCACUGUAGCUUAUUUCUAUGAAUACAGAGAGCUAACACAGUGACAGUCCGUACCAGAAGGCAAUAGUGCUGUGUUAGUGGCUUAAGGACAAUAUUAAAUCUUCCAAAACAUACAAAAAUAUCCCUGCAAAGCAGGCUGACUUUGAACAGACUGCCAGUGGAGGAUAAGGAAGACUGGCUUGUGAUCCUUCUCAGGAAACCUGUUAAAAAAACUUCCUACAGAGUCCUCAACAUUACAGAAGUACGCAAUACCUAACACUGGUUUGUGGCAGCCCCAUAAGCCACCACAGAGAGAGAUGAUCAUUUAUUGACGCAGGACAACUGUUGUGCGACUCUUCACUCAACGCAUUUAUCACACGGAAUUUUUCACACUAUAGAUUGCAAGAGCCUGGUGUCCUUAAAUUAGCCUUGGCAGUCUUAGCAUCAUGUAACAGAAGAUCCAACAUUCCGCCUCCCAGUAACAGCAAAGGGCCACCCCAGCCUCCGUGUCAGGGCCUGAUCAUGCACUGCAGUGCAAAUAGUCUUCUCGCAAAGUUCUAACAGUUUAAACAGAUAAACCCUCCCGAAUAAAGAUCUCCAUACAUGUUAAACCUCCUACCUGCAUGCAUUUUUCUUUCAUUUACCAUUUGUAGAGGUAGAGCACUUAGCGUAUGAUAAACUGCAGAGAGUUCCUGUCUGAUGAGACCAAACCAAAUAUACUGUGCUUUAGGCAAAAUAGUAACACAUCCAGCACUCUGUUAAGG